GGGACUGAUUGGUUUCUACAUAUUGAUAUAUAUAUACCAAUGUUCGUGUUUAUAACACGAUUAAUCAGGUGUUUAUUGUAUAAUAAGUGCAAAAAGUAAUAUAGUUCUUUUCUCUAAUAAAAAAUUAUUUGUUUAAGUUAUUAGAAUAUCAAAAAAAAGUAAUAAAAUUUUUGAUUUUUCACACUAUAUGCUCUUAAUAACAAAAAAUAAUUGUAGAAAUUAUUUAAAAAUUAAGUUAAGUAUUAAAAAUUAGUCAUUUACAUUUAUCAAUUGAAGUUAUUUUAUUAAAUAUCAAUAUGGACGUGGGUUCAAUUCCCUCCAGUUCCA
rnacentral:tmRNA from 1 species